rnacentral:rRNA from 1 species
UACGUAGGGGGGCUAGCGUUGUCCGGAAUCAUUGGGCGUAAAGCGCGCGUAGGCGGCCCUGUAAGUCCGCUGUGAAAGUCGGGGGGCUCAACCCUCGAAUGCCGGUGGAUACUGUCGGGCUAGAGUGCGGAAGAGGCGAGUGGAAUUCCUGGUGUAGCGGUGAAAUGCGCAGAUAUCAGGAGGAACACCAAUUGCGAAGGCAGCUCGCUGGGACGUAACUGACGCUGAGACGCGAAAGCGUGGGGAGCAAACAGG